AUCCAACUGACGAGUCCCAGAUUGGACGAUACGCGCGUCCUGUAU
rnacentral:hammerhead_ribozyme from 1 species